GAUGAACGCUAGCGGCAGGCCUAAUACAUGCAAGUCGAACGAGAUUAUCCAGUUUGCUGGAUUUGAAAGUGGCGCACGGGUGCGUAACGCGUAUGCAACCUACCUUAAUCUGGGGGAUAGCCCGGAGAAAUCCGGAUUAACACCGCAUAAAAACACAGGAUAGCAUUAUCCAAUGUUCAAAUAUUUAUAGGAUUAAGAUGGGCAUGCGUGUCAUUAGCUAGUUGGCGGGGUAACGGCCCACCAAGGCGACGAUGACUAGGGGAUCUGAGAGGAUGGCCCCCCACACUGGUACUGAGACACGGACCAGACUCCUACGGGAGGCAGCAGUAAGGAAUAUUGGUCAAUGGAGGCAACUCUGAACCAGCCAUGCCGCGUGCAGGAAGACUGCCCUAUGGGUUGUAAACUGCUUUUAUCCGGGAAUAAACCUCUUUACGUGUAGAGAGCUGAAUGUACCGGAAGAAUAAGGAUCGGCUAACUCCGUGCCAGCAGCCGCGGUAAUACGGAGGAUCCAAGCGUUAUCCGGAUUUAUUGGGUUUAAAGGGUGCGUAGGCGGCCUGUUAAGUCAGGGGUGAAAGACGGUAGCUCAACUAUCGCAGUGCCCUUGAUACUGAUGGGCUUGAAUGGACUAGAGGUAGGCGGAAUGAGACAAGUAGCGGUGAAAUGCAUAGAUAUGUCUCAGAACACCGAUUGCGAAGGCAGCUUACUAUGGUCUUAUUGACGCUGAGGCACGAAAGCGUGGGGAUCAAACAGGAUUAGAUACCCUGGUAGUCCACGCCCUAAACGAUGAACACUCGCUGUUGGCGAUACACAGUCAGCGGCUAAGCGAAAGCGUUAAGUGUUCCACCUGGGGAGUACGGUCGCAAGAUUGAAACUCAAAGGAAUUGACGGGGGCCCGCACAAGCGGAGGAGCAUGUGGUUUAAUUCGAUGAUACGCGAGGAACCUUACCCGGGCUUGAAAGUUAGUGAAUGGUUUAGAGAUAGAUCAGUCCGCAAGGACACGAAACUAGGUGCUGCAUGGCUGUCGUCAGCUCGUGCCGUGAGGUGUUGGGUUAAGUCCCGCAACGAGCGCAACCCCUAUGUUUAGUUGCCAGCACGUUAUGGUGGGGACUCUAAACAGACUGCCUGUGCAAACAGAGAGGAAGGAGGGGACGACGUCAAGUCAUCAUGGCCCUUACGUCCGGGGCUACACACGUGCUACAAUGGAUGGUACAGAGGGCAGCUACAUAGCAAUAUGAUGCGAAUCUCACAAAGCCAUUCACAGUUCGGAUUGGGGUCUGCAACUCGACCCCAUGAAGUUGGAUUCGCUAGUAAUCGCGUAUCAGCAAUGACGCGGUGAAUACGUUCCCGGGCCU
rnacentral:rRNA from 1 species